GACGAACCGAGCAAACGUUGUUCGGAAUCACUGGGCUUAAAGGGCGCGUAGGCGGGUCAGCAAGUCCGGGGUGAAAUCUUUCGGCUUAACCGGAAAAGUGCCUUGGAUACUGCUGAUCUGGAGGGAGGUAGGGGCAGCUGGAACUUCCGGUGGAGCGGUGAAAUGUGUUGAUAUCGGAAGGAACUCCGGUGGCGAAAGCGGUGUACUGGGGCUGGUCUGACGCUGAGGCACGAAAGCCAGGGGAGCGAACGGG
rnacentral:rRNA from 1 species